GGCUGCAGCGAUUUUGAUUGGUUGAUUCAUAAGCUAUUGAUUUUAAUGAGUUGUGGCGGAUUGCAAAUCCGGUUAGACCAGUUCGACUCUGGUUCGCGCCUCCA
rnacentral:tRNA from 1 species